ACUACAAACCGCACUAUCGUCUCUUCGGGGAAGGAAAGUCCGGACAGCGCAGAGCAACGCACCACCUAACGGGUGGGGCACCGGUGCAAGCCGGUGUACAGACAGUGCCACAGAAAAUAACCGCCUGGCGGCAACGCCCGGUAAGGGUGAAAAUGUAGGGUAAGGGCCUACAGGCAGUGGUGGUAACACCAUUGUGGGGUAAACCUUGCGUGCUGAAAUGCCAUGUAAACGGUCGCUUAGGGCUGCUCGCUCAAGACCGAGGGUAGGCAGAUACAGGUAACGUGUGAACGUUAUCGCAGAUAAAUGAUAGUGGAUUCCGUGCAAACGGAAUUACAGAAUCCGGCUUAUAGGUUUGUAGUUUUU
rnacentral:RNase_P_RNA from 1 species